AUUUGGGACACGAGCAUGCCACCCCCGACGCUAGGCAAACCACACCGAAUGGUCUCGUCCAUUAUUGUAAUACAUAGUUAUACUCUUAAAGCGGUAAAACCCGGAAAGCUACAAGACAAUUUCACUAGUCAUAACUGCUAAGUUCAAAACGCCACCAUACCAGUGUCCACAUUGAUUGUAACAUCUUUCCUAAUUUAAUGGGCGAUACUGUAUAUCAAAGACAAA